UACGGAAGGCAGCAGUGGGGAAUAUUGCACAAUGGGCGAAAGCCUGAUGCAGCUAUGCCGCGUGUAUGAAGAAGGCCUUAGGGUUGUAAAGUACUUUCAUCGGGGAGGAAAAACAAAACUAAUAAUUUUAUUUCUUGACGUUACCCGAAAAAGAAGCACCGGCUAACUCCGUGCCAGCAGCCGCGGUAAUACGGAGGGUGCUAGCGUUAAUCAGAAUUACUGGGCGUAAAGAGCACGUAGGUGGUUUUUUAAGUCAGAUGUGAAAUCCCUGGGCUUAACCUAGGAACUGCAUUUUGAAACUGAAAUACUAGAGUAUCGUAGAGGGAGGUAGAAUUCUAGGUGUAGCGGUGAAAUGCGUAGAUAUCUGGAGGAAUACCUGUGGCGAAAGCGGCCUCCUAAACGAAUACUGACACUGAGGUGCGAAAGCGUGGGGAGCAAACAGGGAUUAGAUA
rnacentral:rRNA from 1 species